UCCGGGUUGGUCCCGGCGGUCCCGCUAGACACCGUAACUGGCAGCGAGGGUUGCGCUCGUUGCGGGACUUAACCCAACACCUCACGGCACGAGCUGACGACAGCCAUGCAGCAUCUGUGCACGCUCCCUUGCGGGUCAUCACCCUUUCGGGCUCUUACCACGUGCAUGUCAAGCCCAGGUAAGGUUCUUCGCGUUGCGUCGAAUUAAACCACAUGCUCCGCUGCUUGUGCGGGUCCCCGUCAAUUCCUUUGAGUUUUAGCCUUGCGGCCGUACUCCCCAGGCGGGGCGCUUAAUGCGUUAGCUACGGCACGGAACCCGUGGAAAGAGCCCCACACCUAGCGCCCAACGUUUACGGCGUGGACUAC
rnacentral:misc_RNA from 1 species